AUGAAGCACUCGGCAGAGAACUGCGAGAUCAAGGGCUUCGACGGAGGCGACACCGUCGACCUGAUCUUGCUGCUCACGGAAGAGUGUGACGUGCUCAUCCCGGAAGCUCUGGGAGGAGUCAUAAACAAUUUUUCUUCUUCUCCUAGGGACAAUGUUGAUGCCAUCAAAGCGAAGUACAUCAUCGAGGCUGCUAACCACCCAACAGACCCCGAGAGAAAUGUACAUGUUCAUGGUGCAGAGAAGGGUGUGCUGGUCCUAGCGGACAUCAUGGCCAACUCCGGCGGAGUGAUGGUGAGCUACUUCGAGUGGGUGCAGAACAUCCAGGUGUUCAUGUGGGACGAGGAGAAGGUGAAUCGGGAGCUCAAGAUGUACAUGACCCGCGCCUCAGACAUAGUUCUGAUUAUUUAG
rnacentral:rRNA from 1 species